GUGGUUGUGGCUCAGUGGUAGAGCACUCGCCUAGCACUGUAGGGUGCUGGGUUCAAUUCUCAGCACCACA
rnacentral:tRNA from 1 species